rnacentral:rRNA from 1 species
CCUACGGGAGGCAGCAGUGAGGAAUAUUGGUCAAUGGGCGCGAGCCUGAACCAGCCAAGUAGCGUGAAGGAUGACUGCCCUACGGGUUGUAAACUUCUUUUAUAAAGGAAUAAAGUGAGGCACGUGUGCCUUUUUGUAUGUACUUUAUGAAUAAGGAUCGGCUAACUCCGUGCCAGCAGCCGCGGUAAUACGGAGGAUCCGAGCGUUAUCCGGAUUUAUUGGGUUUAAAGGGAGCGUAGAUGGGUUGUUAAGUCAGUUGUGAAAGUUUGCGGCUCAACCAUGGAAUUGCCGUUGAUACUGGGGGGCUAGAGUGUGUUUGAGGCAGGCGGAAUGCGUGGUGUAGCGGUGAAAUGCUUAGAGAUCACGCAGAACACCGAUUGCGAAGGCAGCUUGCCAAGCCAUGACUGACGCUGAUGCACGAAAGCGUGGGGAUCAAACAGGAUUAGAUACCCUGGUAGUC